UUCAAGAGUACGUGAAACCGUUUAGGGGUAAACCUGAGAAACCCGAAAGGUCGAAGAGAGAAAUUCAUUCGCGUUUCGUUGCAGGCGUCUGACGGUCGUGCGACGGCGAACGUUCGCGUUUAGCCGCGCCUUCCGCUAGCCGAUCCGGCGACGAACGCGUGCACUUUUCUCUUGGUAGGACGUCGCGAUCCGUUGGGUGUCGGUCUACGACGUGAGGUGGUGCCCGAUAGUCGUUCCUCGCGGAACGUGUACUGUCGGACCCUCGCGUUCCGGCUGACUCGCUCGACGGUAUACUAAUGGUUUUGGGCCGCUCCUGAGAGCGUUCGACUCGUGGCAAGCGCGCCAGUUGCGUUGGCGAUCGGACCUAGUGCCGAUCCCGACCUCUGGUGACUGUUGGCCGCGAAGUUCUCGAACAGACCUUUAAUCGAAAACCGAUCUGCGACGCUAUAGCUUUGGGUACUUUCAGGACCCGUCUUGAAACACGGACCAAGGAGUCUAGCAUGUGCGCGAGUCAUUGGGAAUCGCUAAACCUAAAGGCGCAAUGAAAGUAAAGGUCUUCCUUGCGAAGGCCGAGGGAAGACGGGCGAUCGUUCGCGGUCGCUCCGCAUUCCUGGGGCGUCUCGUUCUCAUCGCGAGAAGAGGCGCACCAAGAGCGUACACGCUGGGACCCGAAAGAUGGUGAACUAUGCCUGGUCAGGACGAAGUCAGGGGAAACCCUGAUGGAGGUCCGUAGCGAUUCUGACGUGCAAAUCGAUCGUCGGAACUGGGUAUAGGGGCGAAAGACUAAUCGAACCAUCUAGUAGCUGGUUCCCUCCGAA
rnacentral:rRNA from 1 species